UACGAAGGGGGCUAGCGUUGUUCGGAAUUACUGGGCGUAAAGCGCACGUAGGCGGAUAUUUAAGUCAGGGGUGAAAUCCCGGAGCUCAACUCCGGAACUGCCUUUGAUACUGGAUAUCUAGAGACCGAGAGAGGUAAGUGGAACUCCUAGUGUAGAGGUGGAAUUCGUAGAUAUUAGGAAGAACACCAGUGGCGAAGGCGGCUUACUGGCUCGGAACUGACGCUGAGGUGCGAAAGCGUGGGGAGCAAAC
rnacentral:rRNA from 1 species